rnacentral:RNase_P_RNA from 1 species
CUACAGACCGCUCUGCCGCCUUUGCUUUUUGACCUUCUCUUAAGUGUGUAUUCUGUUUUAGGUCUGAUAUACAUCUUUAUCAGAUCAUUUUUUCCCCAGAAUCCCACCACAUUCGAGGAACCGUCGGAAGCGGGGAGGAAAGUCCGGACAACACAGAGCGCCGCACCGCCUAACGGGCGGAGUUUUUCUCCCGGCUUCGGAAGAAAAACAUAGAAAGUGUCACAGAAAAUUACCGCCACGCCUUUCGGGCGCGGUAAGGGUGAAAACGUGCGGUAAGAGCGCACGAUGCUGCCGGGCAACCGGCAGUAGGGAUAAACCUUGCGGGUUGAAAUGCCACGUACACCCUGUUUAUGUGUGGCUCGCACAUUGACCCUGAGCAAUCAGGGCUGCGGGGGGGGUAGGCAGCGCAAAUUCUCCUGAGUAAUCGGGAGAAUCAGAUAAAUGGCGGAGAUUCCGGGCAACCGGGAUACAGAAUCCGGCUUACAGGUCUGUAGUUUU